GUUCCAGCUUUCUCCCUGCCUGCUGAGGUGACUUGGGCUUGCCUUGUUCUCUCCCUCAUCUUUGAGUGAGUCUGUAACUUUAUGGACUCUUGUGAAGGAAGAGAGGAGUCAGGGGCUGAAUCUAAGAAAGGAAGAUAUGUCUUUCAGGUUUCCUGGAGUCAGGAGCCCACACAAUUUUUACUAGAACCAGACGCGUUUCAACCUAAGCAAAAAGUGGUGAGAUGUUUGUUGCACCUUCUUCUAGGAGCGUUUCCCGUCACUUUUCCGAAUCCUGGGUUUGAGGUUCCUUUUAUUUCUUGGUUUCUUUAUCCCAUAGUUCAUAGAAUAAAACUUUCUUUAAUUCUAAUUUUUAAAAUUCCAUUAUAGCUAACACACAGUGUUAUACUAGUUUCAUCAGUUCCAUACAACACUUGGUGCUCAUCACAAGUGCACUCCCUAAUUCCCAUCACAUAUUUCCCCCAUCCCCCACCACCUCCACUCUGGUGACCAUCAGUUUGUUCUCUUAGUUAAGAGUCUGAUUCUUGGCUAUUCUUUCUCUCUGUUUUUCCCUUUGCUUGUUUGUUUCUUAAAUUCCACAUAUAAGUGAGAUCAUAUGGUAUUUGACUUUCUCUGACCGGCUUAUUUCAUUUAGCCUUAUACUCUAGCUCCAUCCAUGUUGUUGCAAAUGGCAAGAUUUCAUUCUUUUUUAUGGUCUAAGAAUCUUCCACUGUAUGUACAUACAUCAUUUUCUUUAUCCAUUCAUCAGUGGAUGGACACCUGGAUUGCUUCCAUAGUUUGGCUAUGGUAAAUAAUGCUACUAUAAAUAGAGGGAUGCAUGUAUCCUUUCGAAUUAGUAUUUUUGCAUUUUUUGAGUAAAUACCCAGUAGUGUGAUUAUUGGAUCAUAGGUUAGUUUUAUUUUUAACUUUUUGAGGAACCUCCUUAUAGUUUUCCACAGGGGUUGUACCAAUUUGCAUUCUGAAGAGGGCUUUUUGUCACCUUUAAUGAUGUGAUGAAAAUUCUCUCUUCUGUAUGACAUAGAAUAAGGUCAAUGGAGGAAGUCUUGAGACCCCUGGGUGGCUCAGGGGUUUAGUGCCUGCCUUCGGCCCAGGGCAUGAUCCUGGAGUUCCAGGAUUGAAUCCCCUAUCAGACUCCUUCCAUGGAGCCUGCUUCUCCCUCUGCCUGUGUCUCUGCUUCUCUCCCUCUUUCUGUGUCUCUCAUGAAUAAAUAAAUAAAAAUCUUUUUAAAAAAUGGAGGA
rnacentral:lncRNA from 12 species